rnacentral:rRNA from 1 species
AGAGUUUGAUCAUGGCUCAGAACGAACGCUGGCGGCAGGCCUAACACAUGCAAGUCGAGCGCUGUAGCAAUACAGAGCGGCGCACGGGUGAGUAACACGUGGGAACGUGCCCUUUGGUUCGGAAUAACUCAGGGAAACUUGAGCUAAUACCGGAUGAGCCCUAACGGGGAAAGAUUUAUCGCCAUUGGAGCGGCCCGCGUUGGAUUAGCUAGUUGGUGGGGUAAUGGCCUACCAAGGCAACGAUCCAUAGCUGGUUUGAGAGAACGACCAGCCACACUGGGACUGAGACACGGCCCAGACUCCUACGGGAGGCAGCAGUGGGGAAUCUUGGACAAUGGGGGAAACCCUGAUCCAGCCAUGCCGCGUGAGUGAUGAAGGCCCUAGGGUUGUAAAACUCUUUCGGCGGGGACGAUAAUGACGGUACCCGCAGAAGAAGCUCCGGCUAACUUCGUGCCAGCAGCCGCGGUAAUACGAAGGGGGCUAGCGUUGUUCGGAAUUACUGGGCGUAAAGCGCGCGCAGGCGGUCCUUCAAGUCAGGGGUGAAAGCCCAGGGCUCAACCCUGGAAUGGCCUUUGAGACUAGAGGACUUGGUACGGGAGAGGUGAGUGGAAUUCCGAGUGUAGAGGUGAAAUUCGUAGAUAUUCGGAAGAACACCAGUGGCGAAGGCGGCUCACUGGCCCGUUACCGACGCUCAGGCGCGACAGCGUGGGGAGCAAACAGGAUUAGAUACCCUAGUAGUCC